GAUGAACGCUGGCGGCGUGCCUAAUACAUGCAAGUCGAGCGAACAGACGAGGAGCUUGCUCCUCUGACGUUAGCGGCGGACGGGUGAGUAACACGUGGAUAACCUACCUAUAAGACUGGGAUAACUUCGGGAAACCGGAGCUAAUACCGGAUAACAUGUUGAACCGCAUGGUUCAACAGUGAAAGACGGUUUUGCUGUCACUUAUAGAUGGAUCCGCGCCGCAUUAGCUAGUUGGUAAGGUAACGGCUUACCAAGGCAACGAUGCGUAGCCGACCUGAGAGGGGGAUCGGCCACACUGGAACUGAGACACGGUCCAGCCUCCUACGGGAGGCAGCAGUGGGGAAUCUUCCGCAAUGGGCGAAAGCCUGACGGGGCAACGCCGCGUGAGUGAAGAAGGUCUUCGGAUCGUAAAACUCUGUUAUUAGGGAAAAAAAAAUGUGUAAGUAACUAUGCACGUUUUGACGGUACCUAAACAGAAAACCACGGCUAACUACGU
rnacentral:rRNA from 1 species